UUCUUCCAAUGAAGCAGCUAAACAAGCCAGAUAAAAUGGAAGACAGGAGAGAGAAAAGCCAUAUUACCUGGUACUGUGAUCGGCAGCUAAAUUCUUCGUUCUUGACUGACCACUGGAUCCUAGCGUCUACUUCAUUCCAACUAAACGUAUGGAUGGUUGUGCUGUUGGAAAGAUCUAGAGUAUGACUGGACAGGUAAACUACAGACACCAGCUAAAAAUACAUAUAGUUGCCUGAUUUGCAUGCCUCCCGUUGGAGUGGGCCUAACUGACUGAUCAGUCCAGCUAAUCCAAUCCUCAACUUUGCAGCUCUGACAUCGUUUCCCUUAACUUCGCAAGGUGAACUUUUCGAAGAAAAGUCUGCUCACGUAGCGUUUGUCAGCCGUGGGCACUGGGCGG
rnacentral:lncRNA from 1 species